CUUUCAGAGAGACUCAACUCUUCUUAUCUGGCUUUGGAAACAAUCACGAGCUCAGGCUACCUGUGCAUUUUAGCUCCAAAAGGGCCACCCUUCCCUUUAUUCACUAGAGGUGGCAUAUUCAUGAAAGGAAUUGCAUCCCUUGGAAGUGACUGGAGACUACAUUCCUGAAGACUCUGCUGACAGAACAAUGAGGUGAGGGCAGAUGGAGAAGUCAACAUGGAGACACAAUAACCUCUUAGACACUUUUCAGUGACCAAGUAUUUCUAGAGUCCUACUUCAAGCCUUGCUCAUCCUCUUUGAUGAUUCAACCUCCCUCCUCGUGCUGGAAAACUGAAAUUUGAUGUUUAACCUGGCCUUAGUAACCACAGUAGAUAUGCUGAGUAUUUCUUUUCUUUCUGGCCUUUAGACAAUUUGGGAGGAUACACUGUUGACAUCUUAUCUUUCUUCUGCAGACUGGACUCGUUGGGAGUGGAUUUUCUGAUGAUAAAUGUAAAAGAAAGCCCUCUCCCUGGAAGGAGAGAAUAACCUAAUUGCUCAUUCUACUUAAAAUUGAAGAGGUUUGGGAAUUCCCUGGCAGUCCAGUGGUUAGGAUUCCUUGCUUCCACUGCAGGGGGUACGGGUUUGAUCCCUGGUUGCUGGUUGGGGAACUAAGAUCCCGUGUGCCAUGUGGCAAGGCCAAAAUCAAUAAAUAAAUAAACGGAAGAGGCUUGCUGAUGAUGUGUAGAAGAGCAACAACAGAAUUCCAUGCAUACCUUUAUAACAUUCUCAGCAGAACGUGUGUACCCAAUGUAUAUAGCUAGAUCCACAAAUAAGGCAACAAACCAUA